rnacentral:tRNA from 1 species
GGUUCCAUAGUUUAGCAGUUAGCACCUCUGCUUUACACGCAGAAGGUCCUGGAUUUGUGCCCCAGUGGAGCCA